GAUGAACGCUGGCGGCGUGCCUAAUACAUGCAAGUCGAGCGAACGGACGAGAAGCUUGCUUCUCUGAUGUUAGCGGCGGACGGGUGAGUAACACGUGGAUAACCUACCUAUAAGACUGGGAUAACUUCGGGAAACCGGAGCUAAUACCGGAUAAUAUUUUGAACCGCAUGGUUCAAAAGUGAAAGACGGUCUUGCUGUCACUUAUAGAUGGAUCCGCGCUGCAUUAGCUAGUUGGUAAGGUAACGGCUUACCAAGGCAACGAUGCAUAGCCGACCUGAGAGGGUGAUAGGCCACAUGGGAACUGAGACACGGUCCAGACUCCUACGGGAGGCAGCAGUAGGGAAUCUUCCGCAAUGGGCGAAAGCCUGACGGAGCAACGCCGCGUGAGUGAUGAAGGUCUUCGGAUCGUAAAACUCUGUUAUUAGGGAAGAACAUAUGUGUAAGUAACUGUGCACAUCUUGACGGUACCUAAUCAGAAAGCCACGGCUAACUACGUG
rnacentral:rRNA from 1 species